CGCGCCUCUCGUGUUCAAACGCCGCUGCUGCGCCGCGCAACCUCCGCUACGCGUGCGUGUCCCGCAGCGCGGCCGGCGCUGCCCCGCGGGGCGGAGCGAGCGGCGGCCGCGUAAUGCGGGAAGAGGGGCUCCAGCAGCGGAGGUGCGGGCAGGGCAGGUGCGGUUCGCAGCCCCGCGGAGGCUGCGGGCAGAGGGCUGGCGGCCAGAGCGCCCAGCGGCCUCGGCGGGGCGGACGGUGCUAUGGCCGGCACAGCGGAGGGUCCUCCCGCCGUGCAGCUCCGCGACACGCUGGAAGUCGCGGGGCUGCUCGGGCAGGCUGUAGGUUCACUGCACAACAGUGACAACGACGGCAACGCACCGACGGCCAGUGAGCUACCCCGGUUUCUCCGGGAUAGACAUGCAUAGUUUUGGAGAUUUAAACCAAAAACCAGGACAGGGUUUCCAUACGCUUGAAAGGACAGAUUAAUAAAAGUUGCAUUAUUUUGCUGUUCAUGUCUUCUUCCUACCAUCUUACUGACUUUCUAUUCAGCUGAGUGUGUGCCACGAUGCCGGUGUGAGAAGCAGCCAUGGGAAGGGAGCAGCAGAGCCUGAGAUGAGCCUGAGCUGAGCCUGAGCCCAGCCAAGCCCAGGCUGAGCAGACAGGAGCUGAGCCAAGCAUUGCUGGCCACAGUCAACCCCAGCAGUGCAGAAAGCAGGCCAGUACCACGGAGAGGAUUUUGGGGGUUUGUCCAUCAUUGUUUUUCGUUGCCUCAGGCUCAGGGAUGGGGAAUGCUAGCUGCAGGGUGUCCACCACCUUGUCUUUAUCUCAAGAAUAACUGUGAGCUGCUGCCAAGCUGGAGGAACGUCCCCCAUAUUUGUCUCAGCAGCCACGUGGAGCUAAACUGAGGUGUUAGUGAACACCUUUUGUGUGUAAUGAACCAUCUAUUCCAUAUACUUUUGUUACUAAUAUUGCCGCUGGUACUGUGCAUUUCUUAUUCCACUGCUGUUUGCUUUCACUAAAUUGUUGU